ACCAGACUCCUACGGGAGGCAGCAGUGGGGAAUAUUGCACAGUGGGGGAAACCCUGAUGCAGCGACGCCGCGUGAGUGAAGAAGUAUUUCGGUAUGUAAAGCUCUAUCAGCAGGGAAGAUAAUGACGGUACCUGACUAAGAAGCCCCGGCUAACUACGUGCCAGCAGCCGCGGUAAUACGUAGGGGGCAAGCGUUAUCCGGAUUUACUGGGUGUAAAGGGUGCGCAGGUGGCAGGGCAAGUCAGAUGUGAAAGCCCGGGGCUCAACCCCGGUAUUGCAUUUGAAACUGUCCGGCUAGAGUGCAGGAGAGGUAAGCGGAAUUCCUAGUGUAGCGGUGAAAUGCAUAGAUAUUAGGAGGAACACCAGUGGCGAAGGCGGCUUACUGGACUGUAACUGACACUGAGGCACGAAAGCGUGGGGAGCAAACAGGAUUAGAUACCCGAGUAC
rnacentral:rRNA from 1 species